UACGUAGGGGGCUAGCGUUGUCCGGAUUUAUUGGGCGUAAAGAGCGUGUAGGCGGCCAGGUAGGUCUGGUGUGAAAACUCGAGGCUUAACCUCGAGAUGUCAUCGGAAACCAUCUGGCUAGAGUCCGGAAGAGGAGAGUGGAAUUCCUGGUGUAGCGGUGAAAUGCGCAGAUAUCAGGAAGAACACCAAUGGCGAAAGCAGCUCUCUAGGACGGUACUGACGCUGAGACGCGAAAGCGUGGGGAGCGAACAGG
rnacentral:rRNA from 1 species